rnacentral:rRNA from 1 species
CACGUAGUUAGCCGGCGCUUCUUCUGCAGGUACCGUCACUCUCGCUUCUUCCCUGCUGAAAGAGGUUUACAACCCGAAGGCCGUCAUCCCUCACGCGGCGUCGCUGCAUCAGGCUUUCGCCCAUUGUGCAAUAUUCCCCACUGCUGCCCCCCGUAGGAGUCUGGGCCGUGUCUCAGUCCCAGUGUGGCCGGUCGCCCUCUCAGGCCGGCUACCCGUCGUCGCCUUGGUGAGCCAUUACCUCACCAACUAGCUGAUAGGCCGCGGGCUCAUCCUGCACCGCCGGAGCUUUCCACCACCCUGGAUGCCCAAGGCAGUGAGUAUCCGGUAUUAGACCCCGUUUCCAGGGCUUGUCCCAGAGUGCAGGGCAGAUUGCCCACGUGUUACUCACCCGUUCGCCACUAAUCCCCGCCCGAAAGCGGUUCAUCGUUCGACUUGCAUGUGUUAAGCACGCCGCCAGCGUCGUCCUCGAGCACGGAUCGAACUAC